rnacentral:rRNA from 1 species
UACAGAGGUCCCAAGCGUUGUUCGGAUUCACUGGGCGUAAAGGGCGCGUAGGCGGUCGUGACAAGUCACUUGUGAAAUCUCCGGGCUUAACUCGGAACGGUCAAGUGAUACUGUCGGACUAGAGUACAGAAGGGGCAACUGGAAUUCUCGGUGUAGCGGUGAAAUGCGUAGAUAUCGAGAGGAACACCUGCGGCGAAGGCGGGUUGCUGGGCUGAUACUGACGCUGAGGCGCGAAAGCCAGGGGAGCGAACGGGG